UCUCCUGCAUUGCAGGCAGAUUCUUUACCAACCUAGACAGCAUAUUAAAAAGCAGAGACAUGGCCAGUGCACAGCUGUGCGCACGCUGGUCUGUGGGCAGCAUGGUGGUGGCGUCGAGCGGCGAGAGGGAGAAGGAGCGGCCAGGCGGCGGCUUAGGAGCUGCCGGUGGUAACAGCAUGCAAGAGCGGCUGCUGUCAGCUCUGAAAGAUCUGGAGGUCUUGCCGAGAGAACUUAUAGAAAUGCUGGCAAUUUCAAGAAACCAAAAGUUGCUACAGUCUGGAGAGGAGAACCAGGUCCUGGAGUUGUUAAUUCACAGAGAUGGGGAAUUUCAGGAACUAAUGAAAUUGGCACUUAAUCAGGGAAAAAUCCAUCAUGAAAUGCAAGUUUUAGAAAAAGAAAUAGAAAAGAGAGACAGUGAUAUUCAGCAACUACAAAAACAGCUACAGGAAGCAGAACAGAUACUGGCAACAGCUGUUUACCAAGCAAAAUAAAAACUCAAGUCAAUAGAAAAAGCAAGAAAAGGUGCUAUUUCCUCUGAAGAAAUAAUUAAGUAUGCACAUAGGAUUAGUGCAAGUAAUGCUGUGUGUGCCCCACUGACCUGGGUCCCAGGGGACCCACAGAGACCAUACCCAACUGAUUUGGAGAUGAGAAGUGGAUUACUGGAUCAGUGUGAACAAUCUUUCCACUAAUGGAGUAAAUGGUCAUCUCCCAGGGGACGCACUUGGCAGCGGGCAGACUGCCAGAUGGCAGUAUCCCUGGCAGUAAAAUGACAUGGCGAUGAACAUGUUGCCACCAAACCACAGUCAUGAUUUUCUGUUGGAACCUCCAGGGCACAACAAAGAAAACAAGGACGAUGUAGAGGUUAUGUCAACGGAUUCCUCAAGCAGCGGCAGUUACUCUGAUUAGAAACCGUAAGACGAAAAGCAUACAGAAUUGAGUACUAUAGAAAUCUGUUUCUUAAAUGGCGAAUGUGGAAAGCUAGCCAGGUGAUGUUGGCUGUAGAAUUGUUCUGCCCAUUAAAAAUCAUAGUGGAUUUUUUUUUAAAGCCAAAAAUUAGGUGUCAGUUCUAAACCACUAGGUUAAUACUUAAAGAAAAAUCACACUUUACUGUUGUGGUAAAGCUUUUUCAGUUCAAUGCUGUCUUACCUUGUUCUGUUCCAAUUGUGUUGGACUUGUGCAUAGUACUGAAAAUAAGAUUUGAGGAAAAUGACCCAUGUACAUAUCAUUAGUAGGCCUCCUGCACUUAUUUAGAAAAGCAUAAACAAGAGCAGCGGGAUCACUCAGUGUGCAUUAUAUAACAGAAACCCUCAUCUGAAAGUAAAGGCUAUUACUUUUUGUCAUAGGAAGAGGAGAAAUCAUCUCAAUUUAUACUCUUUGUAAUUAUUGUAUUUUUUGUAAAUAAACUUAUUUUUGUUUGUAAAAAAAAUAAAAAAAUAAUAAAAAGCAGAGACAUU